GAUGAACGCUGGCGGCGUGCUUAACACAUGCAAGUCGAACGGAAAGGCCCAAGCUUGCUUGGGUACUCGAGUGGCGAACGGGUGAGUAACACGUGGGUGAUCUGCCCUGCACUUCGUGAUAAGCCUGGGAAACUGGGUCUAAUACCGGAUAGGACCACAUUUUGGAUGGUGUGGUGGAAAGUUUUUCGGUGUGGGAUGAGCUCGCGGCCUAUCAGCUUGUUGGUGGGGUAAUGGCCUACCAAGGCGUCGACGGGUAGCCGGCCUGAGAGGGUGUACGGCCACAUUGGGACUGAGAUACGGCCCAGACUCCUACGGGAGGCAGCAGUGGGGAAUAUUGCACAAUGGGCGCAAGCCGGAUGCAGCGACGCCGCGUGGGGGAUGACGGCCUUCGGGUUGUAAACUCCUUUCGCUAGGGACGAAGCGUUAUGUGACGGUACCUGGAGAAGAAGCACCGGCUAACUACGUG
rnacentral:rRNA from 1 species